GCUCAGCUCCCCAUCCACCAGUUGCUUCUCUGUCUCGCAGCCAGGCCGGCGCUUGCCGCCCCUGCCUCCUCCUCCGGGCGCGCAAGUAGGCCGCCGUUUGCCGGCCGCGCAUCCGGCCGGAGCUCGCUGCCCCUGCCUCCUCCACCGCGCGCGCAACCCGGCCGCCGCUCGCCGGCCGCGCACCAAGCCGACGCUCGCCGCCCCCACCUCCACCCGUUCGAGGUCAUCGCCUUCCGCCUCUAUUCGCUCCCCGAUGCCUCGGAUACCACCGGCGCCGCGACCGCGGCCGCGGGCCUCUGGCGCCUCUGUUCCUCCUCGCCCAUCGCUGUCGCCACUGCCACGAAGCCUCUGGGGCUAGAUCCGUUCCUCAAAGAGGAGGCAUCGACGGCGGUAGAGGUGGGAGGGAGGACAACACACCCCAGCAAGCAACAUCUAGGAAAAAAAUAGGAAUCGUUUUGAUGACCUGGACAAGGAAGUUCGCUAUGGUCUAUAGUGAGAGGAGGCUAAUUUUGAGUCCAGAUAAUUUUGGUAACUGAUAGUGACAUGUGUAUUUAGAUGUGUGGGUUUACUCGAGAGGAUUAUAUUGUAGGGUAAAUGAAUUUGCUUAUCUUGGAGAUAAGCCAUUUUAUUUCUUAUGAAAAUAAGAUGGUGCUUUUGAUGUAUGUGCUAAGAUGAGUUGGAAAAACACAUGGUUAAUUAACUGUAUGUGUGCAUAAUUUAAAACCGAUGGAUAUAA